GAUGAACGCUGGCGGCGUGCCUAAUACAUGCAAGUCGAGCGAACGGACGAGAAGCUUGCUUCUCUGAUGUUAGCGGCGGACGGGUGAGUAACACGUGGAUAACCUACCUAUAAGACUGGGAUAACUUCGGGAAACCGUAGCUAAUACCGGAUAAUAUUUUGAACCGCAUGGUUCAAAAGUGAAAGACGGUCUUGCUGUCACUUAUAGAUGGAUCCGCGCUGCAUUAGCUAGUUGGUAAGGUAACGGCUUACCAAGGCAACGAUGCAUAGCCGACCUGAGAGGGUGAUCGGCCACACUGGAACUGAGACACGGUCCAGACUCCUACGGGAGGCAGCAGUAGGGAAUCUUCCGCAAUGGGCGAAAGCCUGACGGAGCAACGCCGCGUGAGUGAUGAAGGUCUUCGGAUCGUAAAACUCUGUUAUUAGGGAAGAACAUAUGUGUAAGUAACUGUGCACAUCUUGUCGGUACCUAAUCAGAAAGCCACGGCUAACUACGUG
rnacentral:rRNA from 1 species